GCCAAGAGAGGGCCCUGAAGACCCGAUAUCCAGAUGUGCCACCCUCUCUUGGUUCCUGGACCCUGGAUGCUAGAGGUAGACCGAGCAGAGUUCUCCAGAGAACACCGCUGGACUGCGCUACGUCUUCCCCAGACCCUGCAACCUACCUAUCCCUUCAUUUGACAGGGUCCCAGUUUCACUUCUUUCUGCAAGAGCAAUCUCAGCUCCUUAGAGACGGUCCAUACUCCUUGCUCAGUGAAUCCAUCCAUCAUAUGAGGAGAAUAAUGCCAAUGGAAAUAUAAAUAUUUUGAAAAGCUUUGGGAAGAAAAUCUGGAGAUGGCACAGGAAGCAGCCACAAACUCAAGUAGCAACAGGGACCCUGAAGUUGAAGUUGUGAAACUGUGAAUACAUGAGACUCCGGGGGCUUAUACCACAUUGGGAAGCAGGUGUUCCACUUGGUUGUUCAACAUGACAUCAUCACAUCAUUGCAAUGAAGAAAAUGGGAAGAGUGCCACAGAAUCUUCUACUUUUUCAAAGGAUCCUGAAGAUCAGGA